rnacentral:rRNA from 1 species
CCUACGGGGGGCAGCAGUGAGGAAUAUUGGUCAAUGGCCGGAAGGCUGAACCAGCCAUGCCGCGUGAAGGUCAGUGCCCUAUGGGCGUUAAACUUCUUUUGUGCGGGAGCAAUAAUGGUCACGUGUGGCCAGACGAGAGUACCGUACGAAUAAGCAUCGGCUAACUCCGUUCCAGCAGCCGCGGUAAUACGGGGGAUGCAAGCGUUAUCCGGAUUUAUUGGGUUUAAAGGGUGCGUAGGCUGUGAGGUAAGUCAGCGGUGAAAUGCCCCCGCUCAACGGGGUGAAGUGCCAUUGAUACUGCCUGGCUGGAAUGCGGAUGCCGUGGGAGGAAUGUGUGGUGUAGCGGUGAAAUGCAUAGAUAUCACACAGAACACCGAUUGCGAAGGCAUCUCACGAAUCCGCGAUUGACGCUGAUGCACGAAAGCGUGGGUAUCAAACAGGAUUAGAUACCCCAGUAGUC